rnacentral:rRNA from 1 species
CCUACGGGGGGCAGCAGUGAGGAAUAUUGGUCAAUGGACGAGAGUCUGAACCAGCCAAGUAGCGUGAAGGAUGACUGCCCUAUGGGUUGUAAACUUCUUUUAUAUGGGAAUAAAAUGUUCCACGUGUGGGAUUUUGUAUGUACCAUAUGCAUAAGGAUCGGCUAACUCCGUGCCAGCAGCCGCGGUAAUACGGAGGAUCCGAGCGUUAUCCGGAUUGAUUGGGUUUAAAGGGAGCGUAGGUGGAUUGUUAAGUCAUUUGUGAAAGGUUGCGGCUCAACCGUAAAAUUGCAGUUGAAACUGACAGUCUUGAGUACAGUAGAGGUGGGCGGAAUUCGUGGUGUAGCGGUGAAAUGCUUAGAUAUCACGAAGAACUCCGAGUGCGAAGGCAGCUCACUGGACUGCAACUGACACUGAGGCUCGAAAGUGUGGGUAUCAAACAGGAUUAGAUACCCGGGUAGUC